CGCGGCCUAUCAGCUUGUUGGUGGGGUAAUGGCCUACCAAGGCGACGACGGGUAGCCGGCCUGAGAGAGCGACCGGCCACACUGGGACUGAGACACGGCCCGGACUCCUACGGGAGGCAGCAGUGGGGAAUAUUGCACAAUGGGCGAAAGCCUGAUGCAGCGACGCCGCGUGAGGGAUGACGGCCUUCGGGUUGUAAACCUCUUUCAGCAGGGACGAAGCGUAAGUGACGGUACCUGCAGAAGAAGCGCCGGCCGACUACGUGCCAGCAGCCGCGGUAAGACGUAGGGCGCGAGCGUUGUCCGGAUUUAUUGGGCGUAAAGAGCUCGUAGGCGGCUUGUCGCGUCGACUGUGAAAACCCGCAGCUCAACUGCGGGCCUGCAGUCGAUACGGGCAGGCUAGAGUUCGGUAGGGGAGACUGGAAUUCCUGGUGUAGCGGUGGAAUGCGCAGAUAUCAGGAGGAACACCGGUGGCGAAGGCGGGUCUCUGGGCCGAUACUGACGCUGAGGAGCGAAAGCGUGGGGAGCGAACAGGAUUAGAUACCCUGGUAGUCCACGCUGUAAACGUUGGGCCCUAGGUGUGGGGGACCUCUCCGGUUCUCUGUGCCGCAGCUAACGCAUUAAGCGCCCCGCCUGGGGAGUACGG
rnacentral:rRNA from 1 species